rnacentral:lncRNA from 1 species
CAUGUGGGACCUAUGAAUAAUAGGAGAGAGAGAGUGCCUAUAAAAACACAUACCCUAAACAUCAUAUUCAUUGAUGUUACAAUGAGGAUGCUUAUUUAAAAUAGUGCUAAAUAAGAGAAGCACCUCAUGUAAAUGGUCUAAGUUGUCUUUAUUUAUAAAGGAAGCUAAUUCCAAUGGUAAGAAGAAAUCAUAAUGUACUAACAUUAAGAUAUGAAAAUACAAUUAUACUCUUAGCAUUACAAUAAAAUUAUUUUUCACUUUUAUUACUUUGGUAGACAUUUACAAACCACUCUGCACUUUGGAACAUUUGGUGGGACACAAAAAGAAUCCACACAAUCACUGUCUUUUUCGCACAUAACGACUGUUGUGUUGUCAAAUAAGAAAAAGAAAUGUUAAUAAAAGGGGAUAAAUAUUAUUUAUAAGAUAUAAACUAAAAUUUGAAAAAGUAAGAAAACAAAUUUACCGUAGCUGUUUACAACGUGAAAUAUGGAAAGAAAUACGAUCAUAAUAUAAAUAAACUUAUGAACUUUAGU